CUACCUCUAUUUGCCUAUAUGUGCCUUUUAAGAUCAAAAAAUUAUCUUCUCUAGGCACAUUUUGACUACAUUGCUGCAAAACUUCCUGAAUGUAUUACUAAUGAAAGUGAAAAGCUUUGGCUUCCUCCAAUCAGACAAGAUGAAUACGAAGCCACCAUUCACACAUUCCAACACAAAGAAACUUCAGGAGAAGUUUGUCAACUAAAAAGUGAAGUUGCAACCGUGGUUAAGUGGUGAAGCUCACUCUUUGCUUAAAGGGUUGUUGCAAAAGGACCCGACGCUAAGGCUUGGAAGCUGGACUCCAGGUUGUCAUGAUAUCAAAAAUCAUAAAUGGGUCAAGGAAAUAACAAGUGAAUCUUAAAGAAAAACUGGUUUCAAGAUGGGUAUAAAUUUCAAAGCGGACUAGACUCACUUUAUCAACACCAGAGAUGGACAACAGAUUUCUACUCAGGUUAGAUGGGCUCUCGAGUGGAAACAGGCGCUGACCUAGGAUGAAGUUGAGGAUGAGGUGCAUCUAAUUUUGGGGCUGCUGCAUAUUACGCAUCUUAAGGACGAGUUGGACAGGUUGGGUUGGCUGUACUGAUGAAUGUUGGCGGAGUUCACAUUAAAACAAAUCAGAUUUUAUUUUCCUAGGGGUCCAAAUAAUAAUACGAGUCAUAACGGGUUCUACUGGAAUAAGAUUGCAGUUCCAAAAGUUAGUUGUUUUGUUCAGAUAGUGGUCACCGGCAACAUUCCAACGGCUAUGGACCUUGUGGCGAGGGUCGUUGAGAUGGGAAAUGUCCACGGGAGGAGACUGCAGAUCAUUUACCUGCAGGUUGUAUAAGUGCUACAGCGAUAUGUUGGAGCAUGCUCUUAAAAUGAACAAACCAGCAAAGGAGAACCUUAUUAUCUAUGUGUUUUUCUUAAUGACCAUUUGGAAGAUGUGUAUGUGUCGAAAUGACAAGGUUUUUAGAGGAAAAGUAUGUCCUGAUGCAAAAGUUUUGUUAGAGGAAAAGUCUAUUCUUGAUGACCAUUUGGAAGAUGCGGACGCGUCAAAGUGCGGGUCUGUCCUUGAAUAGCUGGAGCAAUUUUGAUGUUGGUUUCUUGACGUUCCUGCGGGUUUUAGCAUUAUUAUUAUUUUUUUGGGUUAUGUACGUUUAUUUUUGUGUUUUUUGGGGUUGUAUGCUCUAUCUUAGCUUCUGGCUAAGAUGGAGUUUGUGAGGUUCUUAAAUAAAUUUGUCUCCUUUGAUUGGGCAAAAAUAAUGUUAUAAAG